CCUACGGGAGGCAGCAGUGGGGAAUAUUGGGCAAUGGGCGCAAGCCUGACCCAGCAACGCCGCGUGAAGGAAGAAGGCUUUCGGGUUGUAAACUUCUUUUCUCAGGGACGAAGCAAGUGACGGUACCUGAGGAAUAAGCCACGGCUAACUACGUGCCAGCAGCCGCGGUAAUCCGUAGGUGGCAAGCGUAAUCCGGAUUUGCUGGGUGUAAAGGGCGUGUAGGCGGGACUGCAAGUCAGAUGGGAAAACCACGGGCGCAACCUGUGGCCUGCAGUUGAAACUGUAGUUCUUGAGUACUGGAGAGGCAGACGGAAUUCGUGGUGUAGCGGUGAAAUGCGUAGAUAUUAGGAGGAACACCAGUGGCGAAGGCGGUCUGCUGGACAGCAACUGACGCUGAGGCGCGAAAGCGUGGGGAGCAAACAGGAUUAGAUACCCCAGUAGUC
rnacentral:rRNA from 1 species